rnacentral:rRNA from 1 species
AGUGAACGCUGGCGGUAGGCCUAACACAUGCAAGUCGAACGGAAGCACAGUAAGAGCUCGCUCUUACGGGUGGCGAGUGGCGGACGGGUGAGGAAUACAUAGGAAUCUACUUUUUCGUGGGGGAUAACGUAGGGACACUUACGCUAAUACCGCAUACGACCUACGGGUGAAAGCAGGGGAUCUUGGGACCUUUGCCGAUUGAAUGAGCUGAUGUCGGAUUAGCUAGUUGGCGGGGUAAAGGCCCACCAAGGCAACGAUGCGUAGCCGAUCUGAGAGGAUGAUCAGCCACACUGGAACUGAGACACGGUCCAGACUCCUACGGGAGGCAGCAGUGGGGAAUAUUGGACAAUGGGCGCAAGCCUGAUCCAGCCAUGCCGCGUGGGUGAAGAAGGCCUUCGGGUUGUAAAGCCCUUUUGUUGGGAAAGAAAAGAUGCAGGUGAAUACCCCGCUGUUCUGACGGUACCCAAAGAAUAAGCACCGGCUAACUUCGUG